rnacentral:rRNA from 1 species
CCUACGGGAGGCAGCAGUGAGGAAUAUUGGUCAAUGGACGGAAGUCUGACCCAGCCAUGCCGCGUGCAGGAAGACGGCUCUAUGAGUUGUAAACUGCUUUUGUACAAGGGUAAACCUGAAUACGUGUAUUCAGCUGAAAGUAAUGUACGAAUAAGGAUCGGCUAACUACGUGCCAGCAGCCGCGGCAAUACGGAGGAUCCAAGCGGUAUCCGGAUUUAUUGGGUUGAAAGGGUGCGUAGGCGGAUGGAGAAGUUAGAGUUGAAAUGUCCGAGCUUAACUCGGGAACUGCCUCUAAUACUGUUGUUCUAGAGAGUAGAUGCGGUAGGCGGAAUGUAUGGUGUAGCGGUGAAAUGCUUAGAGAUCAUACAGAACACCGAUUGCGAAGGCAGCUUACCAAUCUAUAUCUGACGUUGAGGCACGAAAGCGUGGGGAGCAAACAGGAUUAGAUACCCUGGUAGUC